CAGUACCAAGUAAUCUGUCUUUCCCCCAGCGGGCUGGACUUCACAGCGCCUUCCGCAACGAAUCGCUUGCAGCGGGAUGGGAUGCAACUUCUUGUAAUUGGAUCGCAGGCUUAAGUGAUAAUCGGGU
rnacentral:lncRNA from 1 species